UACAGAGGUCUCAAGCGUUGUUCGGAUUCAUUGGGCGUAAAGGGUGCGUAGGCGGCGCGGUAAGUCGGGUGUGAAAUCUCGGAGCUUAACUCCGAAACUGCAUUCGAUACUGCCGUGCUUGAGGACUGGAGAGGAGACUGGAAUUUACGGUGUAGCGGUGAAAUGCGUAGAUAUCAGGAGGAACACCAAUAGCGAAGGCAGCUCGCUGGGACGUUACUGACACUGAGGCGCGAAAGCGUGGGGAGCGAACAGG
rnacentral:rRNA from 1 species